CCAUAUAUAGAAUAUAUAGAAGCAAAACAGGUUGAAGAACCAAAAGAAAAUCAAGUUUACUAAAUAUAGUAAAAAAAGAAUAAAAAGUAUUGAAAAGUAAAAGAAAACAUGUUAUAUUUUAGGUGUCAAGAAAAUGACACCUUUUUUAAAAUUAAAAAAAAUAAAAAAGUUGAAAAAAAGUAUUGACAGAAUAGCAUUAUAAAGCUAUAAUAAAACAUGUGCUUAAGAGAAAGCAAAAACAUAUAAAAUAGUACAUUGAAAAAUAAACAAUAUCCUUUAGAGAAAAUAAAACCAAGCGGACAGAGAACUGUCCAAAAUAAAUAGGAAAAGCAAAGACAAGCCGGAAGGUUGGGACUGAGACACGGCCCAGACUCCUACGGGAGGCAGCAGUCGGGAAUAUUGCACAAUGGAGGAAACUCUGAUGCAGUGACACCGCGUAUAGGAAGAAGGUCUUAGGAUUGUAAGCUAUUGUCGUGUGAGAAGAAAAUGACCAUCACAGGAGGAAGCCCUGGCUAAAUAUGUGCCAGCAGCCGCGGUAAUACAUAUGGGGCGAGCGUUAUCCGGAUUUAUUGGGUGUAAAGGGUGCGUAGGCGGGAAAAUAAGUCAGUAUGUGAAAUCCCUCGGCUCAACUGAGGAACUGCAACUGAAACUAUUUUUCUUGAGUGUUGAAGGGGAAAGUGGAAUUCCUAGUGUAGCGGUGAAAUGCGUAGAGAUUAGGAGGAACACCAGUGGCGAAGGCGACUUUCUGGGCAACAACUGACGCUGAGGCACGAAAGUGUGGGGAGCAAACAGGAUUAGAUACCCUGGUAGUCCACACCGUAAACGAUGGAUACUAGGAGUUGGCAAAAAUAUUGUCGGUUCCGCAGUUAACGCAUUAAGUAUCCCACCUGGGGAGUACGACCGCAAGGUUAAAACUCAAAGGAAUUGACGGGGGCCCGCACAAGCAGUGGAGUAUGUGGUUUAAUUCGAAGCAACGCGAAGAACCUUACCAGGGCUUGACAUAUACAGGAAUAUAUAAGAGAUUAUAUAGCUCUACGGAGUCUGUAUACAGGUGGUGCAUGGUUGUCGUCAGCUCGUGUCGUGAGAUGUUGGGUUAAGUCCCGUAACGAGCGCAACCCCUAUGGCUAGUUGCUAACAUUAAGUUGAGGACUCUAGCAAGACUGCCGUUGUUAAAACGGAGGAAGGUGGGGACGACGUCAAAUCAUCAUGCCCUUUAUGUCCUGGGCUACACACGUACUACAAUGGGUAAGACAGAGGGAAGCGAAAGUGCGAACUGGAGCAAAACCCUAAACUUAUUCUCAGUUCGGAUUGGAGUCUGAAAUUCGGCUCCAUGAAGCUGGAAUUGCUAGUAAUGGCAGGUCAGCAUACUGCCGUGAAUACGUUCCCGGGCCUUGUACACACCGCCCGUCACACCAUGAGAGUUGGGAAUACCCGAAGCCUGUGAGCUAACUUUUAAAGAGGCAGCAGUCGAAGGUAGAAUCAAUGAUUGGGGUGAAGUCGUAACAAGGUAGCCGUAUCGGAAGGUGCGGCUG
rnacentral:rRNA from 1 species